rnacentral:rRNA from 1 species
GAUGAACGCUGGCGGCAGGCUUAACACAUGCAAGUCGAACGGGCCCUUCGGGGUCAGUGGCAGACGGGUGAGUAACGCGUGGGAACGUGCCCUUCAGUUCGGGAUAACCCAGGGAAACUUGGGCUAAUACCGGAUACGUGCGAGAGCAGAAAGAUUUAUCGCUGAAGGAUCGGCCCGCGUCUGAUUAGCUGGUUGGUGGGGUAAUGGCCCACCAAGGCGACGAUCAGUAGCUGGUCUGAGAGGAUGAUCAGCCACAUUGGGACUGAGACACGGCCCAAACGCCUACGGGAGGCAGCAGUGGGGAAUAUUGGACAAUGGGCGCAAGCCUGAUCCAGCCAUGCCGCGUGAGUGAUGACGGCCUUAGGGUUGUAAAGCUCUUUCGCACGCGACGAUAAUGACGGUAGCGUGAGAAGAAGCCCCGGCUAACUUCGUGCCAGCCGCCGCGGUAA